rnacentral:rRNA from 1 species
GAGUUUGAUUCUGGCUCAGGAUGAACGCUGGCGGCGUGCUUAACACAUGCAAGUCGAACGGGCGAAUUAUAUCGGAGGUCUUCGGGCCGAAGAGAUAAUAAGCUAGUGGCGGACGGGUGCGUAACGUGUGGGUAAUCUGCCUUUGUCAUAGGAAUAACUGCUUGAAAAAGUAGCUAAUACCAAAUAACAUAUCGUAUAGGCAUCUAUAAGAUAUCAAAGAGAAAUCGGACAAAGAUGAGCCCGCAUCUGAUUAGCUGGUUGGUAGGGUAAAAGCCUACCAAGGCGACGAUCAGUAGCCGGCCUGAGAGGGUGAACGGCCACAUUGGAACUGAGACACGGUCCAAACUCCUACGGGAGGCAGCAGUGGGGAAUAUUGCACAAUGGGGGGAACCCUGAUGCAGCAACGCCGCGUGAGUGAAGAAGGCUUUCGAGUCGUAAAACUCUGUUGUAAGGGAAGAUAAUGAC